rnacentral:ncRNA from 1 species
ACGAGGACAGAUUUGCUCGCUUGCAACCUCGUUAAAAAAAUGCUAAAAAAGA